rnacentral:misc_RNA from 1 species
GAGAGCGAGCCGCCAUUGCCGAGAGGACUCGGCGAGAGCUCCACUCGACUUGAGACUCGAGACUCAAGAGCAUAUCGUGCCCUGGGAAGAGGAGGUCGAGCAGAGCGGGCUGGAGCAGGAGUUGGGCCUGAGCCUAGGCAUCCUCAUCGACGUCGUCGACGAGCAGUGGAUGUGCGACACCCUCCCCGCCGAUGACAUCCCCAUGCGCCUGACCAUGGCAGUUAAAACUAAGGAUGUCGAGGAUCCUGCACCAGCUAGUAUGCUCGAUGGGCCUGCCCCUUUAGGCCUAGUUUGGAUACUAUAAUAUUGACCCCAAUUUACAUGUGUUGAGGUGCAUUGUGACGUAAAUUAGUUUAAGUUACACCCAAAUCCACCUCAAUAUAUUAAUUUGCAUCUCAAUUCACCUCAACACAUGUGGAUUGAGUUACACCUAAGGGCUUGUUUGGUUAGCUCUCAAUCCAUGUGGAUUGAGUGAGAUUGGAUGGGUUUGAAUCCC